CGGAGGGUGCGAGCGUUGUCCGGUAUUUAUUGGGUUUAAAGGGUGCGUAGGUGGCUGUUUAAGUCAGUGGUGAAAUACGGUUGCUCAACAAUCGAGGUGCCAUUGAUACUGAAUAGCUUGAAAUAAUUGGAGGCUGCCGGAAUGGAUGGUGUAGCGGUGAAAUGCAUAGAUAUCAUCCAGAACACCAAUUGCGAAGGCAGGUGGCUACGAUUUAUUUGACACUGAGGCACGAAAGCAUGGGGAGCAAACAGGAUUAGAUACCCUGGUAGUCCGUGCCGUAAACGAUGAGGACUCGCUGUUGGUGUUCAUGCAUCAGCGGCUUAGGGAAACCGUUAAGUCCUCCACCUGGGGAGUACGCCGGCAACGGUG
rnacentral:rRNA from 1 species